rnacentral:rRNA from 1 species
GCAAGGAAUUUUGCGCAAUGGGCGAAAGCCUGACGCAGCAACGCCGCGUGGGGGAUGAAGGCCCUCGGGUCGUAAACCCCUUUUGUAAGGGAAGUAACUGACGGUACCUUACGAAUAAGCCACGGCUAACUACGUGCCAGCAGCCGCGGUAAUACGUAGGUGGCAAGCGUUGUCCGGAUUUACUGGGCGUAAAGGGCGCGCAGGUGGCUCAUCAAGUCUGGGGUGAAAUCUCCCGGCUCAACCGGGAGGGGUCUCUGGAUACUGAUGGGCUAGAGGGAAGCAGAGGAGAGCGGAAUUCCCGGUGUAGCGGUGAUAUGCGUAGAUAUCGGGAGGAACACCAGUGGCGAAGGCGGCUCUCUGGGCUUUUCCUGACGCUGAGGCGCGAAAGCGUGGGGAGCAAACCGG